rnacentral:snRNA from 1 species
AGCUUUGCGCAGUGGCAGUAUCACAGCCAAUGAGGUUUACUUGAGGUGUGAUUAUUGCUAAUUGAAAAACUGAU